UCUUUAGUUGCCAUCAUUCAGUUGGCACUCUAAAGAGACUGCCGGUGGUCAAAACCGGAGGAAAGGUGGGGAUGACGUCAAGUCCUCAUGGCCUUUAUGACCAGGGCUACACACGUACUACAAUGGCCGGUACAAAGGGCAGCCACUUAGCGAUAAGGAGCCAAUCCCGUAAAGCCGGUCUCAGUCCGGAUUGGAGUCUGCAACUCGACUCCAUGAAGUUGGAAUCGCUAGUAAUCGCAGAUCAGCACGCUGCGGUGAAUACGUUCCCGGGCCUU
rnacentral:rRNA from 1 species